GUACAACAUGUGUAUGACAAGGAAUAGAGAGUGAAUAUAAUAAUGUCUUUUGUCUUGAGUACCAAAAUUAUUCUUUUUCUGUUUGUUUAAUUGUUUUAGUUCUAAUCAUGUUUUGUUAAUAUUGUGUAGAUUUGUACACUGAGAGCUGAGAACUCUGAGAAAGAUAAAGAGAGCAGAAUGAAGAAAAACAGAAUCCAAACACUCCAAAGAGAGAACACUGAAUUACAAUCAGAGAACCAGUCACUAAAGAAGCAGGUAUCAUCACAAUCACACAAACCAAAAACAAA